rnacentral:rRNA from 1 species
GGGAAUUUUCCGCAAUGGGCGAAAGCCUGACGGAGCAAUACCGCGUGAGGGAUGACGGCCUAUGGGUUGUAAACCUCUUUUAUCAGGGAGGAAUCAAUGACGUGUACCUGAAGAAUAAGCAUCGGCUAACUCCGUGCCAGCAGCCGCGGUAAGACGGAGGAUGCAAGUGUUAUCCGGAAUCACUGGGCGUAAAGCGUCUGUAGGUGGUUUAAUAAGUCAACUGUUAAAUCUUGAGGCUCAACCUCGAAAUCGCAGUCGAAACUAUUAAACUAGAGUAUAGUAGGGGUAAAGGGAAUUUCCAGUGGAGCGGUGAAAUGCGUAGAGAUUGGAAGGAACACCGAUGGCGAAGGCACUUUACUGGGCUAUUACUAACACUCAGAGACGAAAGCUAGGGUAGCAAAUGGGAUUAGAUACCCCAGUAGUCA